CCCUUAGAUGUUCUGGGCCGCACGCGCGCUACACUGAUGCAUUCAACGAGUGUACCUUGGCCGAGAGGCCUGGGCAAUCUUUUGAACGUGCAUCGUGAUAGGGAUAGAUUAUUGCAAUUAUUAAUCUUGAACGAGGAAUUCCUAGUAAACGCAGAUCAUCAAUCUGCAUUGAUUACGUCCCUGCCCUUUGUACACACCGCCCGUCGCACCUACCGAUUGGAUGAUCCGGUGAAGCCUCGGGAUUGUGGCGGUUGCCUUUAUUGGUGGCCGCCGCGAGAACUUGUCUAAACCUUAUCAUCUAGAGGAAGGUGAAGUCGUAACA
rnacentral:rRNA from 1 species